CAAAGGCUUGGUCCUGACUUUACUAUCUACUUUAGCCAAACUUACACAUGCAAGUAUCCGCACCCCCGUGAGAAUGCCCUACAGUUCCCCUUUCGGGAACAAGGAGCUGGUAUCAGGCACAGACACAUCUGGCCCAUGACACCUUGCUAAGCCACACCCCCAAGGGAACUCAGCAGUGAUAAACAUUAAGCCAUAAGUGAAAACUUGACUUAGUUAAGGCUAAAAGGGCCGGUAAAACUCGUGCCAGCCACCGCGGUUAUACGAGGGACCCAAGUUGAUAGAUCACGGCGUAAAGAGUGGUUAAGAGUAUAAGAUACUAAAGCCGAAUGCCCCCACGGCUGUUAUACGCAUCCGGAGGUAAGAAGCUCAAUUACGAAAGUGGCUUUACAAUACCUGAACCCACGAAAGCUAAGACACAAACUGGGAUUAGAUACCCCACUAUGCUUAGCCCUAAACAUUGACAACACAAUACAUUUGUUGUCCGCCUGGGGACUACAAGCGCCAGCUUAAAACCCAAAGGACUUGGCGGUGCUUUAGAUCCACCUAGAGGAGCCUGUUCUAGAACCGAUAACCCCCGUUCAACCUCACCCCUUCUUGCUCUACCCGCCUAUAUACCGCCGUCGUCAGCUUACCCUGUGAAGGUCUAAUAGUAAGCAAAAUUGGCACAGCCCAGAACGUCAGGUCGAGGUGUAGCGUAUGGAGGGGGAAGAAAUGGGCUACAUUCCCUAACCCAGGGAAUACGGACAAUGUGCUGAAAUGCACAUUCAAAGGAGGAUUUAGCAGUAAGCAUGAAAACAGAGUGUUCUGCUGAAACCGGCCCUGAAGCGCGCACACACCGCCCGUCACUCU
rnacentral:ncRNA from 1 species